ACUCGAUGGGCUGAAUGGCCUAAUUCUACUCCUAUAACUUUUGAACUUGUGAAAUUGUUUUUUGAAGAAGG